rnacentral:rRNA from 1 species
AAGAAGGGUUUCGGCUCGUAAAACUCUGUUGUUAAAGAAGAACAUAUCUGAGAGUAACUGUUCAGGUAUUGACGGUAUUUAACCAGAAAGCCACGGCUAACUACGUGCCAGCAGCCGCGGUAAUACGUAGGUGGCAAGCGUUGUCCGGAUUUAUUGGGCGUAAAGCGAGCGCAGGCGGUUUUUUAAGUCUGAUGUGAAAGCCUUCGGCUCAACCGAAGAAGUGCAUCGGAAACUGGGAAACUUGAGUGCAGAAGAGGACAGUGGAACUCCAUGUGUAGCGGUGAAAUGCGUAGAUAUAUGGAAGAACACCAGUGGCGAAGGCGGCUGUCUGGUCUGUAACUGACGCUGAGGCUCGAAAGUAUGGGUAGCAAACAGGAUUAGAUACCCUGGUAGUCCAUACCGUAAACGAUGAAUGCUAAGUGUUGGAGGGUUUCCGCCCUUCAGUGCUGCAGCUAACGCAUUAAGCAUUCCGCCUGGGGAGUACGGCCGCAAGGCUGAAACUCAAAGGAAUUGACGGGGGCCCGCACAAGCGGUGGAGCAUGUGGUUUAAUUCGAAGCUACGCGAAGAACCUUACCAGGUCUUGACAUACUAUGCAAAUCUAAGAGAUUAGACGUUCCCUUCGGGGACAUGGAUACAGGUGGUGCAUGGUUGUCGUCAGCUCGUGUCGUGAGAUGUUGGGUUAAGUCCCGCAACGAGCGCAACCCUUAUUAUCAGUUGCCAGCAUUAAGUUGGGCACUCUGGUGAGACUGCCGGUGACAAACCGGAGGAAGGUGGGGAUGACGUCAAAUCAUCAUGCCCCUUAUGACCUGGGCUACACACGUGCUACAAUGGAUGGUACAACGAGUUGCGAACUCGCGAGAGUAAGCUAAUCUCUUAAAGCCAUUCUCAGUUCGGAUUGUAGGCUGCAACUCGCCUACAUGAAGUCGGAAUCGCUAGUAAUCGCGGAUCAGCAUGCCGCGGUGAAUACGUUCCCGGGCCUUGUACACACCGCCCGUCACACCAUGAGAGUUUGUAACACCCAAAGUCGGUGGGGU